rnacentral:rRNA from 1 species
UACGGGGGGAGCAAGCGUUGUUCGGAUUUACUGGGCGUAAAGGGCGCGUAGGCGGCCACCGCAAGUCGACUGUGAAAUCUCCGGGCUUAACCCGGAAAGGUCAGCCGAUACUGCGGGGCUAGAGUGCAGAAGGGGCAACUGGAAUUCUCGGUGUAGCGGUGAAAUGCGUAGAUAUCGAGAGGAACACCGGUGGCGAAGGCGGCAUCCUGGACCGACACUGACACUGAGGAGCGAAAGCCAGGGGAGCAAACGGG